rnacentral:rRNA from 1 species
UACGUAGGGGGCAAGCGUUGUCCGGAAUUAUUGGGCGUAAAGAGCGCGUAGGCGGUCCGAUAAGUCCGCUGUGAAAGUCGGGGGCUCAACCCUCGAAUGCCGGUGGAUACUGUCGGGCUCGAGUACGGAAGAGGCGAGUGGAAUUCCUGGUGUAGCGGUGAAAUGCGCAGAUAUCAGGAGGAACACCAAUGGCGAAGGCAGCACUCUGGGACGUGACUGACGCUGAGACGCGAAAGCGUGGGGAGCAAACAGG